GGAUGUAAGGGCGAUCUGGCUGCAACGUCUUGUCAACCCAUUGAUCACCAGGGUUGAUUCGGCUGAUUUGGCUGGCUAGGCGGGUGUCCCCUUCCUCCCUCACCACUCCAUAUGCGUCCCUCCCGAAGCUGUGCGCUCGGUCGAAGAAGACAACCAUCCCUGGUAGAGGAGGACCGGUCAUCGGUCAAGGGUAUAUGAGUAGCUGUGUUCCCCUGCUAGAACCUGCAAACAAGCUCUCAUAUAAUUUUUAACUUACACAAAAGUUGCAAGACUAGUACAAGGAACUUCUGUAUACCUUUAUACAGAUUUGCUGAUUGUUAUGU
ensembl:misc_RNA 7SK 7SK RNA